rnacentral:misc_RNA from 1 species
CAAAUUGUUCUCUGAGCUAGUUGCGGUAUUCACAGGUGAACUGCACAAAUGUAAUAAUAGAAGAAGCAAAAUUGAAUCAGAAAUUUGAGGAGACAUUACUCAUANNNNNNNNAAAAAGAAAUGCAAGAAGAAGGCAAGUUUUUGACUUUAAAGAUAUCCAUCUCUCCUGUCUUGUUCUUCAGCUUCUUUAUUAGCAAUUUGAACAGAU